UAAGUAAGCUAAAUGGUUGCGUGAAGUGCGUAAGCACACACGAGGAAAGUCCGAACUCCAUAGAGCAGGUUAACGGUUAACAACCGCCGAGGGCGACCUUAGGGACAGUGCAACAGAAACAAACCGCCAAUUUUUUGGUAAGGGUGGAAAGGCGAGGUAAGAGCUCACCGGCACGCAAGAAACUGUGUGGCCAUGUAAACCCUAACCGGAGCAACACCUAUUUGGUAAAAGAUGCGUUUGCUCGGCGCAAAAAGGGUGGCAACGAGCUACUGCGGCAACGCUUAGCCAAGAUAGAUAACCAUUUUAAACAGAAUUCGGCUUAUCGGUUUACUUAUUUG
rnacentral:RNase_P_RNA from 1 species